GCGUGCCGCGGGCGGAGCUCCGGGGCCGCGACGAUCGCUAGGGGCAGGCAGGGGGAAUUUCGCACUGUAAAGAUUUCAACGCAACUGUUAGGCAGGUCGAGAGGCGGAACCGCAUCAUCGCUGUGGUCGUACGUACCGGGGCCUGGUGGAGGAAGACGCCUUCCGGCACAACAUGGAUUGCCGCAACCCCCGCUCGUGAUUCGGUCGCCCGGUCGUCUGGAACAGGAACCCGGCACUGGUAAUGGUCGAUGGCAAUGGGGCACGCCGUCCUGCUCGUCUCGUCUGGAACAGGAGCCGGCACUGGUAGGUAGGUAGCGGUCGAUGGCAAUGGGGCACGCCGUCCUGCUGCCCUGGGCGAUACGCACGAGACGGAGUGAAUUACAAAAAAAAAGAAACACCCCAUUUGCAGUUCGUCGAGCAGAAUUGCCACAUUCUUUGUUCGUCUCAAAAAUCCACCACUUUUACGGUAAUUUUUUUCAAUAAACAC
rnacentral:lncRNA from 1 species